UAGGGAAUCUUCGGCAAUGGACGAAAGGUCUGACCGAGCAACGCCGCGUGAGUGAAGAAGGUUUUCGGAUCGUAAAACUCUGUUGGUAGAGAAGAACGUUGGUGAGAGUGGAAAGCUCAUCAAGUGACGGUAACUACCCAGAAAGGGACGGCUAACUACGUGCCAA
rnacentral:rRNA from 1 species